rnacentral:rRNA from 1 species
CCUACGGGAGGCAGCAGUGGGGAAUAUUGGACAAUGGGGGGAACCCUGAUCCAGCCAUGCCGCGUGUGUGAAGAAGGCCCUCGGGUUGUAAAGCACUUUCAGUGAGGAAGAACGCCUGGUGGUUAAUACCCAUCAGGAAAGACAUCACUCGCAGAAGAAGCACCGGCUAACUCCGUGCCAGCAGCCGCGGUAAUACGGAGGGUGCGAGCGUUAAUCGGAAUUGCUGGGCGUAAAGCGCGCGUAGGUGGCUUGAUAAGCCGGUUGUGAAAGCCCCGGGCUCAACCUGGGAACGGCAUCCGGAGCUGUCAAGCUAGAGUGCAGGAGAGGAAGGUAGAAUUCCCGGUGUAGCGGUGAAAUGCGUAGAGAUCGGGAGGAAUACCAGUGGCGAAGGCGGCCUUCUGGACUGACACUGACACUGAGGUGCGAAAGCGUGGGUAGCAAACAGGAUUAGAUACCCCAGUAGUC